CCCCCACCCCGCCUCAAAUACGUCCUCUCCCAAGUCUUCUUACCCUAUGCACCCAUCUUCGCCGUCGGAUACCAAUUAACAGGUGUAUUUAAUAGAUGGCGGAUCGAAACUCGACUGCCUCAAAGCCUAUAUGGAUGAAGCAAGCCGAGGAGGCCAAGCUGAAAAGUGAGGCCGAAAAAGCUGCUGCUGCUAAAGCAGCUUUCGAAGCCACAUUCAAGGAUGUUGAUAAGAACCGUAACAAGGAUGUGGCGGCAGCUUCAUCCGAUAGUGAGUCUGAGGACACCAGUGACUUGGUGAACAAGCCAAUUGGUCCUGUGGAUCCUGCCAAGUGCAUGGCAGCGGGGCCUGGAAUAGCGGGUGGCACUGCCUGUGCAGCCUCCACGUUUAUGGUGGUAACGAAGGAUGCUGAUGGGAGGAAAGUACAGAGUGGGGGUGCUCAGAUUAAGGUGAAGGUUUCGCCUGGUGUGGGCGUUGGGGGUUCAGAACAAGAAGGGAUUGUGAAGGAUAUGGGAGAUGGGACUUACACUGUGACUUAUGUGGUGCCUAAGAGAGGGAACUAUAUGGUGAAUAUUGAGUGCAAUGGAAAACCCAUCAUGGGUAGCCCUUUCCCGGUGUUCUUCAGUGCAGGUACUUCUACUGGAGGACUACUAGGGGUGGCUCCUGCAUCCACAUAUCCAAAUCUAGUCAACCAAACCAUGCCCAACAUGCCAAACUACACAGGUUCUGUUUCUGGAGCUUUCCCUGGCUUAUUGGGAAUGAUCCCAGGCAUUGUUUCUGGUGCUUCAGGUGGUGCUAUUUUGCCGGGAAUGGGGGCAUCUCUUGGGGAAGUUUGUCGAGAAUACCUCAAUGGUCGUUGUGCUAAAACUGAUUGCAAAUUGAACCACCCUCCCCACAAUUUGCUGAUGACUGCCUUGGCUGCAACAACCAGCAUGGGAACUCUCAGUCAGGUUCCUAUGGCACCUUCUGCAGCUGCAAUGGCUGCAGCUCAGGCUAUUGUUGCUGCUCAGGCCCUUCAAGCUCAUGCAGCUCAGGUGCAAGCACAAGCUCAGUCAACCAAAGAUUCAUCUGAUUCUCCUGACAAAGCUGGGAAGGCUGAUGCGUUGAAAAAAACCCUACAAGUUAGCAAUCUUAGCCCACUUCUCACAGCAGAGCAAUUGAAGCAGCUUUUUAGCUUCUGUGGUACAGUUGUUGAGUGUACAAUCACUGAUUCAAAGCAUUUUGCUUACAUAGAGUACUCAAAACCUGAGGAAGCAACAGCUGCUUUGGCAUUGAACAAUAUGGAUAUUGGAGGUCGACCAUUAAAUGUGGAGAUGGCUAAAUCGCUUCCCCAGAAACCAGCUGUUUCAUCAUUGGCUUCAUCAUCUUUGCCUAUGAUGAUGCAGCAAGCUGUUGCCAUGCAACAGAUGCAAUUCCAACAGGCUUUGCUUAUGCAACAGACAUUGACUGCUCAGCAGGCAGCUAACCGAGCUGCAAGCAUGAAGUCUGCAACAGAGCUAGCCGCAGCAAGAGCUGCAGAGAUAAGUAAGAAGCUAAAAGCUGAUGGACUUGUUACUGAAGAGAAGGAAACUAAAAGUAAAUCUAGGUCACCAUCCACUUCUCGUGCAAGGUCAAGGUCCAAGUCAAAAUCACCCCUUAGUUAUCAGAGAAGAUCAAGAUCAAAGUCUAGAUCACCAAUUAAUUAUCGGCGAAGGUCAAGGUCCAAGUCAAGAUCACCGAUCAGUUAUAGACGAAGAAGGAGGUCUCGCUCUUAUUCACCUUCUCUUCGUUUCCAACGAGACCGUAGGUCCAAAUCACCUGUGAGAUCUCAUCAUCGUUCAAGGUAUGAUAGUGAACGGCGGUCAUAUAGAGAUAGGGAUGACAUUGACAGGAGUAGGAGACGAGAUCUGGAUAGAUCACGUGAUCGUCGUUCAUCUGUUUCAAGGAGAAAUAGGAGUAGGAGUAUUAGUCCUCAAACAAGAAAAUCACCUCCUGUUGAUUCAGACUCCCCAAAAAAUAGCAGAGAAAGUUCACCAAGGGCGAGGAAGUCAUCUCAUCCUGAUUCAAGGUCACCAAGGCAUCAUAGGAGAAGUAGGUCAUCCCCAAAGAAUGAUGAUGAAAGAAAAUUGAAAUACAGAAAACGCUCUAGGUCAAAAUCUGUUGAUUCUGAUAAGAAAAGGGAUCAAAUCCAGGGUGAAAAAUCAAAGCACCGCAGCAGAAGGCGUUCCAGGUCAUUAUCUUCAGAAGGUGAGCAUCGAGGAAGAAGCAGGUCUUCUGCAAGUUCAGAUGAAAACAAAUUAAAACACAGAAGGCGGUCCAGGUCAGUUUCUGUUGAACGCAAGGUUCGCUCCAACAGUAAAAUUGAUGAAAUGAAGAAAGAUGAAUCGAGACAUAGUGAUAGAAGGCGUUCCCGGUCAGGGUCGGCUGAAGGUAGGCAUUACACCAAGGAGAGGAGUGAUAGAAGCAGAGAUAAGAAGUCUAAGCAUAGGGAUAGAAGGCGAUCCAGGUCAAGAUCUGCUGAGGGCAAGCAUCACAGAGAAAGCAGGCUGUUCCCCAGAAAUUCGGGUGGAAAUAAAAUAAAACAUCGAAGGCUCUCCAGAUCAAAGUCUACUGAAGUCAAGCAUCGUUCCAGUGAUAAAAUAGAUGAAAGAUCAAAACGUCAUGAUAGAAAGCAUUUAUCAUCUGCCGAAUGUAGGCAUCCUAGAGGAAGUAGAUCUUCUCCGAGAAGUUCUGAAGACAAUGAUUCAAGACGCAGAAGGCGCUCUAGGUCAAAGUCAGUAGAAGGGAAUGAUGGAAUAUUGGCUUCAAAGGAGGAGGAUUAUGACUCUAAAGUUUCAGUGAAUGAUGAUCAGGAAUUGAAGGGCAAAUAUUUACUACAGUUUAGCUGUGAUGAAGGACUCUCACCAAAUAACAGAUUGGAUGCAGAUGAACUAAGCAAACUUGAAGGAUCAAGUAGUAAGCAUCAGCUCAACAGUAAUGGAUCUGAAAAUCAUUCCAUUUCUCCUCAGCAGAACUGAGCUGUGGGCUUUAGUUGUGGAGCUGGACCUUGGGGCCUGUGAUUUCUGCAGUCAAAGUUACUUCAAGCUGUCUGACUUCUGACUCUCCAAUUUAGGCUUGGUUCAAUUCAAGCUUGUUCAGAUAUGAACAAUUUAUAUAGAGUUUAAUGAGCUUUUGGCUCCUAAAGGAUCGGCAGUUCACUUAGGAGAUUGCUUAGUGUUUCUUUUGGUGCUUGGAUUUUUCAGCCAUUUGUUGGUUCUUCAUAAAUGUAUGCCCUUUGUGCUCUUUUAUCUUUUGCAGGCAUGUGGAACAAAUUGGAAUUGAAGUCUCUGAGCUGACAUUUACAAUGGAUAAAGUAUUUCAAGCAGUGUUCUGCUUUCAUCUGCAAUCAACCAUGCAAUGUUUGUAGCAAGCUUCAUUUACUGCUAUAUAUGUUAUAUACAUGGUGUUCCUGUUGGAGCUGUCAGUGAUCAGUUUGCAGGGUUGAUUUUUACUUGAUCUAUGUGAAGGAAAGUUGUUGGCCAAAGCUACUUUAAGGUCCAGCGUAAUCAGAUCCUGCUGGGAUGAAUAGCGUCUCAAUUUGAGCCUCAUAGCAGAUUGGUUGAUCACUUACCUUAGUUUCAUGGUUUUUCACAGUUUCUUUUUAGGACGAGGCAUGGAUAUGGUGGUAUAAGAGCUCAGCCCUGGUCUCAAACUCUCUGGAAAUGUUGAGUGGCGUGAAGCAGAUGUAAAAAUGUUCUUGCAUUUUACAGAACUUACUAAAAUCCCCUACCAACACCAAUCCCACCCCAUCGAUCUCUCACUCGCUUCCCCCAUAUCUGUAGUUGUUCUGUUUUUCUCUUAUUUUUUGCUCCAUCUUGGGCGUCAUCUUACGAUGGUGGGUGCAAGCAAGGAUUGACUGGUUAGGGAAAUAUGCGAUGAGCUGAUUGAUUACAUUUUGAUGUCAAACUGUAGUUCUAAAUAUUGCCUGUCGCCAUCUAAUUCAAAAUAGAACCACGAGUCACGAUUUUUUUUUUUUGAAAUACAUCACCCUCAGUCUCUGCCUA